AGCAGCCGCGGUAAUUCCAGCUCCAAUAGCGUAUAUUAAAGUUGUUGUGGUUAAAAAGCUCGUAGUUGAACCUUGGGCCUGGCUGGCCGGUCCGCCUCACCGCGUGUACUGGUCCGGCCGGGCCUUUCCCUCUGUGGAACCCAUGCCCUUCACUGGGUGUGGCGGGGAAACAGGACUUUUACUGUGAAAAAAUUAGAGUGCUCCAGGCAGGCCUAUGCUCGAAUACAUUAGCAUGGAAUAAUAGAAUAGGACGUGUGGUUCUAUUUUGUUGGUUUCUAGGACCGCCGUAAUGAUUAAUAGGGACAGUCGGGGGGCAUCAGUAUUCAAUUGUCAGAGGUGAAAUUCUUGGAUUUAUUGAAGACUAACUACUGCGAAAGCAUUUGCCAAGGAUGUUUUCAUUAAUCAGGAACGAAAGUUAGGGGAUCGAAGACGAUCAGAUACCGUCGUAGUCUUAACCAUAAACUAUGCCGACUAGGGAUCGG
rnacentral:rRNA from 1 species